CACAGGAAAUGGAGUAUAUGUUACAUUGCAUGAUGUGGAUGCAAUUCUGAGAGAUGGUGAUACUGCAAAUAAUGUCAUUGACAGCUUCAUAGAAAUGCUUGAGAUUGAGCAACAAGUCAAGAAGCCAGAAAAGAAUAAAUCAUUCUUUUUCUCAAGCCUUUGUUGGUCUUUAGUGAAAUGGGGUUAUGGGGAGCUGAGAAAUCAUUUAAUUGAUAAAGUCCUUGAACAAGAUUUGAGUGGAUAUAGAUACCUUCAUUUUUGCAUGAAUUCCAAUGGGAACAAAAAGGAAGAAAAACC